UACGGAGGGUGCAAGCGUUGCUCGGAAUUAUUGGGCGUAAAGGGUAGGUAGGUGGUCUCAUUUGUCUGGGGUGAAAGCCUUGAGCUUAACUCAAGAAGUGCCCUAGAAACGGUGAGACUUGAGUCUUGGAGGGGGUCGUGGAAUUCCCGGUGUAGCGGUGAAAUGCGUAGAGAUCGGGAGGAACACCAGAGGCGAAGGCGGCGACCUGGACAAGUACUGACACUCAACUACGAAAGCGUGGGGAGCAAACAGGG
rnacentral:rRNA from 1 species